UACGAAGGGGGCUAGCGUUGCUCGGAAUCACUGGGCGUAAAGGGUGCGUAGGCGGGUCUUUAAGUCAGGGGUGAAAUCCUGGAGCUCAACUCCAGAACUGCCUUUGAUACUGAGGAUCUUGAGUCCGGGAGAGGUGAGUGGAACUGCGAGUGUAGAGGUGAAAUUCGUAGAUAUUCGCAAGAACACCGGUGGCGAAGGCGGCGCUCUGGACCGAGACUGACGCUGAGGCGCGAAAGCGUGGGGAGCAAACAGG
rnacentral:rRNA from 1 species